AACGCUGGCGGCGUGCCUCAGACAUGCAAGUCGAACGAUUAAGUCUUCCUUCGGUAAGUGUAUAAAGUGGCGCACGGGUGAGUAACACGUAAGUAAUCUACCUUCGAGUGGGGAAUAACGUUCGGAAACGAACGCUAAUACCGCAUAAUGCAGCGGCAUCGCAAGAUGACAGUUGUUAAAGAAAUUUAUUUCGCUUGAAGAGGAGCUUGCGGCAGAUUAGCUAGUUGGUAAGGUAACGGCUUACCAAGGCUACGAUCUGUAUCCGGUCUAAGAGGACGGUCGGACACACUGACACUGAAUAACGGGUCAGACUCCUACGGGAGGCAGCAGUCGGGAAUUUUGGGCAAUGGGCGAAAGCCUGACCCAGCAACGCCGCGUGAAGGAUGAAGUAUUUCGGAAUGUAAACUUCGUAAGAAUAGGAAGAAUAAAUGACGGUACCAUUUAUA
rnacentral:rRNA from 1 species